rnacentral:rRNA from 1 species
UACGUAGGGUGCAAGCGUUGUCCGGAAUUAUUGGGCGUAAAGAGCUCGUAGGCGGUUUGUCGCGUCUGCUGUGAAAACUCGGGGCUUAACUCCGGGCCUGCAGUGGGUACGGGCAGACUAGAGUGCGGUAGGGGAGACUGGAAUUCCUGGUGUAGCGGUGAAAUGCGCAGAUAUCAGGAGGAACACCGGUGGCGAAGGCGGGAUCCUGGGCCAGUACUGACGCUGAGGCACGAAAGCGUGGGUAGCAAACAGG